CCUAUCAGCUAGUUGGCGGGGUAAAAGCCCACCAAGGCGACGACGGGUAGCUGGUCUGAGAGGACGACCAGCCACACUGGAACUGAGACACGGUCCAGACACCUACGGGUGGCAGCAGUCGAGAAUCUUUCACAAUGGGGGCAACCCUGAUGGAGCGACGCCGCGUGGAGGAUAAGGUCUUCGGAUUGUAAACUCCUGUCAUGUGUGAACAAGGCAGCCGGGCUAAUAACCUGUGCUGAUUGAUGGUAACACAAGAGGAAGAGACGNCUAACUCUGUGCCAGCAGCCGCGGUAAUACAGAGGUCUCAAGCGUUGUUCGGAAUCACUGGGCGNAAAGGGUGCGUAGGUGGCGUGGUAAGUCAGAUGUGAAAGCCCGGGGCUCAACCUCGGAAUUGCAUCCGAUACUGCCGUGCUUGAGUACUGGAGAGGUGACUAGAAUUCUAGGUGUAGCAGUGAAAUGCGUAGAUAUCUAGAGGAAUACCAAAGGCGUAGGCAGGUCACUGGACAGUUACUGACACUGAGGCACGAAGGCCAGGGGAGCAAACGGGAUUAGAUACCCCGGUAGUCCUGGCAGUAAACGGUGCACACUUGGUGUGGGAGGAUUCGACCCCUCCUGUGCCGGAGCUAACGCGUUAAGUGUGGCCCUAAGGCAAGACUGGUGACUGGGAUG
rnacentral:rRNA from 1 species